rnacentral:tRNA from 1 species
CUUAGCUCAGCUGGAUAGAGCACCGGCCUUCUAAGCCGUAGGUCACAGGUUCGAAUCCUGUAG